UGAGGAAUAUUGGUCAAUGGCCGAGAGGCUGAACCAGCCAAGUCGCGUGAGGGAAGAAUGUCCUAAGGAUUGUAAACCUCUUUUGUCGGGGAGCAAAAAGGCUCUGCGGAGUCGUAUUGAGAGUACCCGAAGAAAAAGCAUCGGCUAACUCCGUGCC
rnacentral:rRNA from 1 species